AGGGAUAUCGCCAAGCGGUAAGGCACCGGGUUUUGAUCUCGGGAUUCUGAGGUUCAAAUCCUCAUAUCCCUGCCA
rnacentral:tRNA from 12 species